UACGGGGGGGGCAAGCGUUGUUCGGAAUUACUGGGCGUAAAGGGCUCGUAGGCGGCCAACUAAGUCGGAUGUGAAAUCCCCGGGCUCAACCUGGGAACUGCAUUUGUGACUGUAGAGCUGGAGUGCGGCAGAGGGGGAUGGAAUUCCGCGUGUAGCAGUGAAAUGCGUAGAUAUGCGGAGGAACACCGAUGGCGAAGGCAAUCCCCUGGGCCUGCACUGACGCUCAUGCACGAAAGCGUGGGGAGCAAACAGG
rnacentral:rRNA from 1 species